UGGACUUUGAAUUUGCUUGUGUAGGAUAGGUGGGAGGCUUUGAAGCGUGGACGCCAGUCUGCGUGGAGCCAUCCUUGAAAUACCACCCUGGCAACUUUGAGGUUCUAACUCAGGUCGUGCGUCCCCCGUGCCUGGACAG
rnacentral:ncRNA from 1 species